AUCGUUCUCAUCCCAUCGUUUCCUCCUCUGCUCAAGCACGGCAGCCAGUCCAGCCACCAUUUGGGUGCUCAUCUCCCUCUGCUCGGCACCCAGCCCCAGCUCGCCCGAGCUCCCUGCGCCGACCUCAUCCUCCCCAUGGCGCGUCACCUUCUACUCCUCUCCUUCCCACGGCACAGCAGCGCCCCUUCACCAGAUCCAUGGCGCCCAACACCUUGAGCGCCCCUGCCGCUGCUCCUCCACCGGGAUCUCCUCCUCCACUAGGCGUCCAGGCUUGUCCCACCAUGGCUGCCCCUCCUCCAUCUCCUCCCUCCCCACCAGGUUACCCAGAUUCCAUGGCCGCCGCCGC
rnacentral:misc_RNA from 1 species